GUAGGAUAAGCUAAGCACACUGUUGGUUAUGUGUGCCCAAGCAUUGAGGCAGUCAAAGUAGGCAAAUCCGCUUUGAUAAUGCUGGGAUGUGAUGGGGAGCGAAAUUUAGUAGCGAAGUAGCUGAUUUCACACUGUCAAGAAAAGUCUCUAUCGAGGUUAAAGGUACCCGUACCGCAAACCGACACAGGUGGGUGAGGAGAGUAUCCUAAGGCCAGCGAGAGAACUGUUGUUAAGGAACUCGGCAAAAUGACCCCGUAACUUAGGGAUAAGGGGUGCCACCAUCAGGUGGCCGCAGAGAAUAGGCCCAAGCGACUGUUUACCAAAAACAUAGGUUUCUGCUAAGUCGCAAGACGAUGUAUAGGAGCUGACGCCUGCCCGGUGCUGGAAGGUUAAGGGGAUCUGUUAGAGCAAUCGAAGCAGUGAACUUAAGCCCCAGUAAACGGCGGCCGUAACUAUAACGGUCCUAAGGUAGCGAAAUUCCUUGUCGGGUAAGUUCCGACCCGCACGAAAGGCGUAACGAUUUGGGCACUGUCUCAACAACAGACUCGGUGAAAUUGUAAUUCCGGUGAAGAUGCCGGAUACCUGCGACAGGACGGAAAGACCCCAUGGAGCUUUACUGUAGCUUGACAUUGGGUCUUGGUACUACAUGUACAGGAUAGGUGGGAGGCUUUGAAACCAGGACGCCAGUUUUGGCGGAGCCAUCCUUGGGAUACCACCCUUGUA
rnacentral:rRNA from 1 species